UUGCAUUUUGUUACGUCUCUAUGACAAAUUUUAGCGCACGGCUCUCUAAAGCCAUUUCCCAAGACCGAGUAUUGGAAUUAGCUCGGUCUCUUUUU
rnacentral:sRNA from 1 species